UACGUAGGGUGCAAGCGUUAAUCGGAAUUACUGGGCGUAAAGCGUGCGCAGGCGGUUUUGUAAGUCAGAUGUGAAAUCCCCGGGCUUAACCUGGGAACUGCGUUUGAAACUACAAGGCUAGAGUGUGGCAGAGGGGGGUGGAAUUCCACAUGUAGCAGUGAAAUGCGUAGAUAUGUGGAGGAAUACCGAUGGCGAAGGCAGCCCCCUGGGAUAACACUGACGCUCAUGCACGAAAGCGUGGGGAGCAAACAGG
rnacentral:rRNA from 1 species